rnacentral:rRNA from 1 species
UCCCAUUAUUCUUCCCAGAUCUGUGGGCCGGAUCUCUUCUUAUCUUGGAAGCUAAGCAGGGUCGGGCCUGGGUAGUACUUGGAUGGGAGAUUACCUAGGAAGACCAGAUGCUGUAGGCA